rnacentral:rRNA from 1 species
GACGAACGCUGGCGGCGUGCUUAACACAUGCAAGUCGAACGGAAAGGCCCUGCUUUUGUGGGGUGCUCGAGUGGCGAACGGGUGAGUAACACGCGAGUAACCUCCCCUUGACUUUGGGAUAACUUCAGGAAACUCGGGCUCAUACCGGAUAGGAGCUCCUGCUGCAUGGUGGGGGUUGGAAAGUUUCGGCGGUUGGGGAUGGACUGGCGGCUUAUGAGCUUGUUGGUGGGGUAGUGGCUUACCAAGGGUUUGACGGGUAGCCGGCCUGAGAGGUGGACCGGCCACAUGGGGACUGAGGGACGGCGCAGACGGGUACGGGAGGCAGCAGGGGAGAACAUUGCAGAAUGGGCGGGAGCCUGAUGCGGCGACGCCGCGUUCGGAAUGAUGGCCUUCGGGUUGUAAACCGCUUUCGCCUGUGACGAAGCGUGAGUGACGGUAAUGGGUAAAAAAGCACCGGCUAACUACGUG